rnacentral:rRNA from 1 species
GUUUCCGUAGGUGAACCUGCGGAAGGAUCAUUGUCGAAACCUGCCCAGCAGAAAGACCCGCGAACCUGUCUUUAACAUCGGGGGCAUGCGGGCCUAGUGCCCGUGUGCUCCCACCUGCAUCGUCUUCGGUGUCGGCUGUAUGCCUUGCGCAUCUGCCUGUCCUCAUGCGGUGCAUUAACCAAACCCCGGCGUGAAUCGCGCCAAGGAAACAUAAACGAGAAAGCGACCCCUUGCCGCCCCAGAGACGGUGUGUGUGCGGGGUGUGUGGCCUUCUUUCAUUAUUUACAACGACUCUCGGCAACGGAUAUCUCGGCUCUCGCAUCGAUGAAGAACGUAGCGAAAUGCGAUACUUGGUGUGAAUUGCAGAAUCCCGUGAACCAUCGAGUCUUUGAACGCAAGUUGCGCCCUAAGCCAUUAGGUCGAGGGCACGUCUGCCUGGGUGUCACGCAUUGUUGCCCCCCACCCAAAGUCGUAUGAUACUUUGUGGCGGUGGGCGGAAAUUGGCCUCCCGUGUGCCCGUGUAUGCGGUGGCCUAAAUUUGAGCUCUCGGUGAUGCUUCCCGUGACAAUCGGUGGUGUUUGAAACGAAACCUAGUGAUGCUGUUGUGUGGUGGCGUCGUCCCGAUUACGAGCUCCUUGGCCCUCAAGAGUCGGCGAAAGCUUGCUCGUAUUGCGACCCAGGUCAG